UGUGUUGUCUUGAUAAGACUUUGGAGAUUGAGAGGAUGUUACCGACAAAGUGAACGGCUAUGGAGUAUUCUAUAAUUAUUUUAGCAUAGGAAUGGAUGCACAAGUUGCUUAUGGAUUCCAUCAUUUAGUAAUGAGAAACCUUAUCUUGCGCACGGUCCUAUUGCAAACAAGGUAUU